rnacentral:lncRNA from 1 species
UGCAAGGUCUUCAUAGAUAUAGGAAGAUGUGGUGUGAGUGCCAAUGAGACAACUCUCAAAUUUAAAAAAGUAAACCAUUAUAGGCAGGGAUCUCCAUGGCCUGUUUAACGAUGGCGCCCCGCCAUCGUUCAAAUGUCUUGCGCCAGCGUCAAAUGACCUGCGCCAUUGUUCAAAUGUCUUGCGCCAUCGUCAAAUGACCUGCGCCAUCGUUAAAUUGUCUUCCGCCAUCGUUCAAAACUGUUAUCGUUCUAAUAGCCCGACGCCAUAUUUUUAGCAAUUAUAAUCAAAUGCAUGUAAUUGCAUAACCCUCAGGCUUUUUUAUAUUAUAAUCCAAUACAGUUUAACACCUGAGGGAUAUCCGGAUUAAGAUCGCUAAUCACUUGUACCUGAGCUUGUACAGGUAGAUCAACAAACCAGACAGGAGAAUACAAUCUGAAGAUAAACGAUUCAUUUGUCGAAUUGUUCAACUAAGUUUCAGCAAAUUCUAUGAUAAUUUGGAUUGAAUAAAUUAAUUAAUAAUCCCAGUUACAAAGAAAACAGUUUAAAAAGUCGAACACGUGCUUUUAUUUUGACUUACGCAAUCGACACCCCCCUUUUUUGAGAAGUACAAAAUAAGACGUAAAACAGUUAUUAUUAUUUCAUCGCAAAUAACUCGAGUACUGCUGUAUUGGAACGAUAAUAUAGAAUAACUUUAAAAGUUAAAAAGUAAAAACUUUUAUUUCCUGUAAAGAAAUGUCGUAUCGUAAUUCCGAAUGCAUUUCGUAGCUUACAAUCAAAUUGAUACAUC